AAUCCCUGGUGCUAGGGCAGAUUGAUGGCAAACUGCCAAAAUUACUGUAAGAAACCAUCAUUUUGAGAUGAACCAUCCUUAAUCAGUUUGCUCACUGCUCCAUCCUUUCCCACACCAGCUUUUUAGAGAAGACUUCAAACCAGUUGUUUCAGUACCACCAACCACAUGAGCUUCACCAAUUUCACCUAAGCCAGCAGUAUAAUAUCUAUUUGGUCACCUCCCAGUUGUCAAAAGAAACUAGAAAAAUAAACAGUUUCAGCACCUUCUUGGUACCAGUAUACAUACACAGAUGCUUCUGAUGUGGAGAUAAGGAAUGAAGAGAACAGGGAUGGAAAACUAAGAUGCAGGAAUUUGGGAAGUGUUGGGUACAGAACAGAUGUGAUCAUCAUCCUCAUCUUGUGAGCACCUCAUCAAGAUGCUUUCCCUCUCACUGAAGAGAGGAAAUCAAGACAUUCCUGGUGUUCCCUGGGUUUGGAUUUGCCAUGCUGAAACCCACAGGUUUUGCUAGUCUGUUAGAAGCAUUGGACACAAUAGCAGAAGUUAGCUGCAGGGCCUCGACAACAUCAUUUCUGGUAAGCAAACUUUUGCCUUGGAAUUCACAUCCCUGCUCCAUCCACCAGGAUACAAUCAAAAGAUCAGAUGGGUUCAUCAACAACAAAGCAAUGGAAACGGGAACGCUCCAGGGUUUGAGAGAUUACAUGGGAGGUUUGUUUGCAUGUUUUUCACAUGCCUCAUGCUUGUUGACAUUUAUAACUUCUCCAUUUGUGCCAAGAGAUAACAAUGACUGACUCACGAGGGAAAAAGUCAUGGUAUAAAGAAACAAGAAUACACACUGAAACUGGAGUUAGCUGGCUUAGGCUGAACAGAAGAUGACUCACAGACCCGCAGUAUUUAGCUUUGUUUGUAGUAGUCAGAUAACACCAGAAACUGCUACAACAAGGGAUGAAGAGUCAGUUUUCUUCCUUAACUCAUGGACUUGCAUCUCCCAUGAGCUUGGCCUAUCUUCACAAACACUGCAAGCCUCAGUUCAUCCCUAAACACAGAUUCAGCAACAGCCUGGCAGCCCACACAUCCCAGAUUUGCUUUCUCUGCCAAGUGGCUUCAGGCGAUGCAGAAAUGACACACUGCAACAAAGCGCUGUGAUGCGCACGAGCUGGGAUCCCCAUCAGAUCUAAUGGAUUCUUCCAGCUCACUCCUUCAGCCAGCCAGUAAACAAACAGCUGUUCUGUGACUUUCAGAGCUAACCAUGCAUACGUAUUGUUUUUCUCCCCUUCUUUCCAUAUUUAAAAAGAUCAAUUUAUGCAUCAGCAAAGUGCAUUCACCUAUGGGAUGAAUAGACCAUUUGCUUAACAGUGUGCAGUAGCAGUCUAUGACAGUAAAUGAUUACCACAUUCAACUGAAAUUACAAAGUGUUUUAGGAUCACUGAGUAAGUAUCUAAGCCAGACUUGGCC